rnacentral:rRNA from 1 species
CAAAAAUGUGCGUAGACUGUUGCAAGGUGGGGGAUAGGAAAAUCCGCCCCAGAAUCCAAGCAACGGGCUCAGGCCCAAUUUGUUGGCUGAAGUCAUCGGCAGGAUGUCCAAGAAAAGCUUCUAGAGGUUUGACACAUGAUUGACCGUACUAAAACUGACACAGGUAGGCGAGUCGAGUAGACUCAGGCGCUCGGGAGAACGGUGGUUAAGGAACUCUGCAAAAUGGCCUCGUAACUUCGGGAUAAGAGGCGCCCUUGGGGGUUAACGCUCCUAGGGGCCACAGUAAAUCGGUACCAGCGACUGUUUAUCAAAAACACAGGACUCUGCUAACACGCAAGUGGAUGUAUAGAGUCUGACGCCUGCCCGGUGCUGGUAGGUUAAGGAAGAGGGUUAGCCUCACGGCGAAGCUCGCGACCGAAGCCCCAGUAAACGGCGGCCGUAACUAUGACGGUCCUAAGGUAGCGAAGUUCCUUGUCGGGUAAGUUCCGACCUGCAUGAAUGGCGUAACGACUGGUACACUGUCUCAACCACCGACCCGGUGAAAUUGUAGUCGUGGUGAAGAUGCCACGUUCCCGCGGUUAGACGGAAAGACCCCGUGAACCUUUACUGUAGGCUGAUAUUGGGCUGAGACUUGUCUUGUGUAGGAUAGGUGGGAGGCUGUGAGGCCGGCACGCAAGUGUCGGCGGAGCCGUCGUUGAAAUACCACCCUGGGCACGUUUUAGUUCUAACCUCGAUUCUGUGAAACCAGACGAGGGACAGUGUCAGUUGGGCAGUUUGGCUGGGGCGGUCUCCUCCAAAAUAGUAACGGAGGAGUACAAAGGUGCACUCAGCCUGGUUGGUAAUCAGGCUUCGAGCGUAAGGGUAAAAGUGCGCUUAACUGCGAGACUUAUCAGUCGAGCAGAUACGAAAGUAGGUCCUAGUGAUCCGGUGAUUCCGAAUGGAAGGGUCAUCGCUCAUCAGAUAAAAGGUACUCCGGGGAUAACAGGCUUAUCGCUCCCGAGCGUCCACAGCGGCGGAGCGGUUUGGCACCUCGAUGUCGGCUCAUCACAUCCUGGGGGUGAAGAAGCUCCCAAGGGUUUCGCUGUUCGCCAAUGAGAGUGGUACGUGAGCUGGGUUCAGACCGUCGUGAGACAGGUCGGUCCCUAUCUGCCGUGGGCGUACGAAGCUUGAGGAGGUUCAACUUUAGUACGAGAGGAUUUGGUUGGACGUAGCUCUGGUGUUCCAGUUGUCGCGCUAGCGGCACGGCUGGAUAGCUAACUACGGAAAGGAUAAACGCUGAAAGCAUCUAAGCGUGAAGCCCUCUCCAAGAUCAGGCUUCGUGGCACUAUAUGUGCGAGAGUCCCCAGGAAGACGACCUGGUUGAUAGGCCGGAUGUGUACGCACAGUAAUGUGUUUAGCUUACCGGUACUAACGGACGAAUGCUUGACCAC